rnacentral:rRNA from 1 species
GACGAACGCUGGCGGCGCGCUUAACACAUGCAAGUCGAACGGAAAGGCCUGCUUUCCCUUGUGGAUUGCGGGUACUCGAGUGGCGAACGGGUGAGUAACACGUGCGUGAUCUGCCCCCAACUUGGGUAUAAGCCUGGGAAACUGGGUCUAAUUCCCGAUAGGACUGCAGGGUGGGCCUGUGGUGGAAAACGAUUUUCUAGUGGUUGGGGAUGAGCUCGCGGCCUAUCAGCUUGUUGGUAGGGUAAUGGCCUACCAAGGCGGCGACGGGUAGCCGGCCAGAGAGGGUGGACGUCAGCAUUGGGACUGAGAUACGGCCCAGACUACUACGGGAGGCAGCAGUGGGGAGUAUUGAACAGUGGGCGGAAGCCUGAUGGAGCGACGCCGCGUGGGGGAUGACGGCCUUCGGGUUGUAAACUCCUUUCGACCGAGAGGAAGCCACCUGGUUGGAGGGGUGGUGACGGUAGUGGUAGAAGAAGCACCGGCUAACUACGUG